CCACAAUAUUCUCAUUUUUUAGAUGCACCUGUACACAUCACUCACUCACCUGCUGCCUGGCUCAUUUUAUGACUGAACCAAAAGUGUAGAAGCCCAUGGAUCAUGGGAAAUGCCUCCAUCUGGGAGAAAUGAAAACAUAUAUGAAUACAGUAAUGUUUUGUAAUGUAGUUUUUCUGUGAUUAGCGGCGGUUGCCAGUGAGGAAUUUGAAUGUUCAGUUUGCCGCCAAAAUAACGGUUAAUCACUCAGCAGAUCUGUCUGGAGAUUAAGAAGACUUCCAAAUACACUGGACAUACGUCUUUAUACUUCAAAACAAGUCAACUUGAACAACAAAGAUUCCAGCCGUAUCUGUCAUCCUGCCGAUAGGUGGCGCUGUUUGAUUGUGAUUGUUUACAGCAAGUUUUGCCGAGAAUACUAACCCCAACCAAAUCAAGCUCUGAUUAUAAUAGUUGAAAGUGUUAAUAUAGUCAGCAUUAAUGCUACAGUAAAAAAAGGAAAUGUUGUAAUAAUGUAUAAUUCCUCAUACAGCAUUUUUGCACCUGACAGUAGAUUUAAAUGGAAUGUGAUUUCAUAUUCGUUUUCAUAAUCUGUUAAACAACUCACAUGCACAGGCUUUUAAAAACCUUUUAAAAUGUCCAGGAAAGGCAGUGUUCUCAGCUGAAUGAUGCAGACAGCUAAUGGGAUCCAGCAGAUGUUUCCAGUGUGGAAUAAUUCAAUUUCAGUCUCUGUGUCAGUGAAGGUGCGAUGAUUUAUUCAUCUGUAGUUUGUUUAUGGCAUCUGUUGAGAUAAAGGAAGCUUUAGUUGAGUUACCAGCUGACACACAGGAUGCUGAGUCUCAUUAAUGUGCUUUUAUCUACUAUAAUUGUGUAAUGAUUUACUGUAAAUGCAUAUUAAACUGCAUAUGAGACUGGUUAUUGUAGAUUUUACUGCAGUGGAUAUUGCUUUGGUUUGAAGCCUCGCAAGUCUUCUGUGACUUGAUCUUUGUUCAGAUUUAGUUUUGUAGAGGAAAUGAUGAAUAAAUAAAGCGUGUGUGUUUUGAGCAUGUGCAUGUAAUGACACUGCAUGUGGGGGAUGUGUGGAUAAGAUAAUGCAUGUGUGUGUGUGUGUGUGUGUGUGUGUGUGCAUGAGUCAGUAAUGGACACUGCGAGUUGAAGGAGAGGUCAGGAAUAUGAAAGGCAGUGUGUGUCAGAGGAGAGGAGGGUUAUAAAAAGGCUUUAAUCACGAGAGCACUGAUCAUUACUGUCUCAUCACAACACUCUGUGUGUGUUACUGUAACUCUGAUUGUGUGCAUGUUAAGUUAAUAAUCACAUCUUCACGUCCUGCUCAGAUCUUUA
rnacentral:lncRNA from 1 species